GUAGCUUCUUGGCCUUUUGGCUAAGAUCAAGUGUUGUAUCAGCAAAAACAAGGACGAGUCCUUGUGUCACCUCAAAGACUAACAAAUUAUUUGGGCAUAAGCUUUUGUGGACUAGAACCCAUUUCAUCAGAUGUCCACGAAAGCUUAUGCCCAAAUAAAAUUUUAUAUUGUCAGUUUCUGACUUUACUGACAAAAAGUUGUCCAUU
rnacentral:snRNA from 1 species